GUCCCUACGGGGCGCAGCAGUGGGGAAUAUUGCACAAUGGGGGAAACCCUGAUGCAGCAACGCCGCGUGAGUGAAGAAGCGUUUCGGCGCGUAAAGCUCUGUCAGCGGGGAAGAAAGAAGACGGUACCCGACCAAGAAGCCCCGGCUAACUACGUGCCAGCAGCCGCGGUAAUACGUAGGGGGCGAGCGUUAUCCGGAAUUACUGGGUGUAAAGGGAGCGUAGGCGGGGAUGCAAGUUGGGUGUUAAAUCUACCGGCUCAACUGGUAGUCGCACUCAAAACUGCAGCUCUUGAGUGAAGUAGAGG
rnacentral:rRNA from 1 species